rnacentral:rRNA from 1 species
GACGAACGCUGGCGGCGUGCCUAAUACAUGCAAGUAGAACGCAGUUGCGAACGUGUGAGUAACGCGUAGGUAACUGCCUGGUAGCGGGGGAUAACUAUUGGAAACGAUAGCUAAUACCGCAUACUACCAGAUGGACCUGCGUUGUAUUAGCUAGUUGGUGAGGUAACGGCUCACCAAGGCAACGAUACAUAGCCGACCUGGUGAGGUGGACGGGCCCCCCGGGACUGGGACCCGGCCCCGACUCCUACGGGAGGGAGCAGUAGGGGAACUUCGGAAAUUGGGGGAACCCUUACCGAGCAACGCCGCGGGAGUGAAGAAGGUUUUCGGAUCGUAAAGCUCUUUUGUUAAGGAAGCGGUACUUAACCAGAAAGGGACGGCUAACUACGUGCCAGCAGCCGCGGUAAUUC